GACGUAGGGUGCAAGCGUUGUCCGGAUUUAUUGGGCGUAAAGAGCUCGUAGGCGGCUCGUCGCGUCGACUGUGAAAACUCGGGGCUUAACCCUGGGCUUGCAGUCGAUACGGGCGGGCUAGAGUUCGGUAGGGGAGACUGGAAUUCCUGGUGUAGCGGUGAAAUGCGUAGAUAUCGAGAGGAACACCUGCGGCGAAGGCGGGUUGCUGGGCUGACACUGACGCUGAUGUGCGAAAGCUAGGGGAGCGAACGGG
rnacentral:rRNA from 1 species